GCCGUUAAGUUUGCAGCCUCCCCGAGGAUGUGUGCCAUCAAGUCCUCACUUAAGGAUGUGGGCGUGGCCGUAGCAGCCACUGCAGCAAGUGCAAUCUUGGCAAGCAAUGCCUUGGCCAUUGAGGUGUUGCUCGGCGGCGAUGACGGUUCCUUGGCUUUCAUCCCCAACAGCUUCUCAGUCAGCCCAGGAGAGAAGAUUGUGUUCAAGAACAAUGCUGGAUUCCCACACAACAUUGUGUUCGACGAGGACGAGAUUCCCAGCGGUGUGGAUGCUGGAAAGAUCUCCAUGGGCGAGGAGGACCUCCUCAAUGCCCCAGGGGAGACAUACGCCAUCACCUUGACUGAGAAAGGUUCCUAUGCUUUCUACUGUUCUCCUCACCAGGGAGCCGGCAUGAUCGGCAAAGUCACCGUUAACUAAUUAUUAAUUCAACUUGUUCAUUUCUUUCCCCCUUCUAAAACUUCCUUUUUUGGGAGGUAUUAGUAGAUCGAGCUUUCACAAUCAGUAUAUUCG
rnacentral:lncRNA from 1 species